AUACGGAGGAUCCGAGCGUUAUCCGGAUUUAUUGGGUUUAAAGGGUGCGCAGGCGGGAGGUUAAGUCGGCGGUGAAAUUUUUCAGCUCAACUGUGAAAGAGCCUUUGAAACUGGCUUUCUUGAGUGUAGAAGAAGUAAGCGGAAUUUGUGGUGUAGCGGUGGAAUGCAUAGAUAUCACGAGGAACACCGAUUGCGCAGGCAGCUUACUAAACUCCUACUGACGCUCAGGCACGAAGGCGUGGGGAUCAAACAGGAUUAGAUACCCUGGUAGUCCACGCAGUAAACGAUGAUUACUAGCUGUUUGCGAUACAAUGUAAGCGGCUGAGCGAAAGCGUUAAGUAAUCCACCUGGGGAGUACGUUCGCAAGAAUGAAACUCAAAGGAAUUGGCGGGG
rnacentral:rRNA from 1 species